GUGGGGGCGGAGCCAGCAUCUCCAGAGACCCGAAGAAUCCAGCCAAGGGCCUGGAUCCCACGGCAGUGUCCCGCAGAAGUCCAGCUAAAGGCCUACAGUCCAAGGCAAUGUCCUCCACGAGUCCAGCCAGAGGCCUAGGUCCCACAGCAGUGUCUCAUCCAAGUCCGUAUCGGGGAUCGGCACCGGGAAGGCCCAAGGGCCAGUGGUGGAAGCUAAAAGCCUGCACUGUCGGGGAGAAGGCUCUGCGCCCCCAGCCGAGGGACCUGCCCUGGAGCCAGGAAGCGAUACUCAAGGCGAAGACCAUCCAUCGUGACCAUGAGGACCUGACAUGGCAAGCUUCUCCAAGAAAACUGGAGCAUGCAAGCUUCCCCUCCAGUUCUAUUUUUAUGCUGUUGCAAUAACCCUCAGGUGGGUCUUCC
rnacentral:lncRNA from 1 species